rnacentral:piRNA from 1 species
UAGUCGAUAAAACCUAGAUAGAGUGGC